GACAGAGGGUGCAAACGUUGUUCGGAAUUACUGGGCGUAAAGCGUGUGUAGGCUGCUACAUAAGUCGGAUGUGAAAGCCCCGGGCUCAACCCGGGAAGUGCACUCGAUACUGCGUAGCUUGAGUCUCGGAGAGGUUGGUGGAAUUCUCGGUGUAGAGGUGAAAUUCGUAGAUAUUCGAGAGGAACACCGGUGGCGAAGGCGGCCAACUGGACGAAGACUGACGCUGAGACACGAAAGCGUGGGGAGCAAACAGG
rnacentral:rRNA from 1 species